rnacentral:lncRNA from 10 species
GGUUCCCCAGAAGCUGCCGUAGAGAGGAGAGAGGACCCCAGCAGACCACAGCUCACAUCAACCAGAGCAACCUCACAGUGACUCAGGAUCCCAGAUGAACAUGGGAACAGUUAGCUGUGAAGCCUUGGGCUGUCGUCCGCCUCCAACCCCUGGGGCUCUGACCACACCCAGCCCCAGCUCAGAUCAUCUUGCUCAAAGGGCCGAAGGAGGACCCAUCUCCACACCUUCCACAUGUAGAUAUCCUCAACGUUCUUCACAGAGGGGAUGCCCGCACCCCGCCCCACCGAGUUCGCGGCUGCUGUGCCCAUCUUCCUAGAGAGGAGUUCUCCGCCACACCCGACACCACACACUUCCAACUUCUGCGGUGCUUCCCUCUCACUUAUCUCCACCCCCAAUCCUUAUCCCCGCUCGUUUAAUCACACAUUUAUUGGUCACCUACUAUGUGUCUGUCACUCUGCAGCGAGCAUUGGGGUUCCUGCCCCCAGAAACUGAUCUAUCAGGGAGGCGAACAGGGACGGGGAACUCGGAACAACGGGACAGCCCAGGAGAGACCGCCCGCGGGCGACCCCUCUACUCGCCACCGCGUCCUCCCUCCAUUCUCACUAGCCUCCCUCCUAACCUCGCUGCCCUGGCCUGGCGCCCUCCCCACCCUCGGCCGCGCCCCUUUCCCCUCGGCUGUGUCGGGGCAGAGGGAACGCUUGAGACCCGGGGCUCGGGGGGCGCGCGGGGCUCGGGGCACCCCAGGCCCCCGCCCCAUCCCUCCGCCCCAGCCCGGGCCGGGCGGAGGCAGCACGGGAGGAGCGGGGCCGGGCGCUGGUCCAUCCCUCGCACCGCCCCUCCCCGCCCAAAAUGCAGAGGGACUCGGAGGGAGGCGACGGGGAAAUAAAUACCUUUGACUUUGUGGCUAAGGUUAACGGGAACUGCCACCCCGAGGGCGACUUGGGCACCGGGCUCCCGGCCCUGGCCAUUCCCGGGGCAGGCGGGGCGGGCACGGGUGCCUGAUUGGCUGGCGGG